rnacentral:rRNA from 1 species
CCCUAAUACAUGGCAGUCGAACGAACUCUGGUAUUGAUUGGUGCUUGCAUCAUGAUUUACAUUUGAGUGAGUGGCGAACUGGUGAGUAACACGUGGGAAACCUGCCCAGAAGCGGGGGAUAACACCUGGAAACAGAUGCUAAUACCGCAUAACAACUUGGACCGCAUGGUCCGAGUUUGAAAGAUGGCUUCGGCUAUCACUUUUGGAUGGUCCCGCGGCGUAUUAGCUAGAUGGUGGGGUAACGGCUCACCAUGGCAAUGAUACGUAGCCGACCUGAGAGGGUAAUCGGCCACAUUGGGACUGAGACACGGCCCAAACUCCUACGGGAGGCAGCAGUAGGGAAUCUUCCACAAUGGACGAAAGUCUGAUGGAGCAACGCCGCGUGAGUGAAGAAGGGUUUCGGCUCGUAAAACUCUGUUGUUAAAGAAGAACAUAUCUGAGAGUAACUGUUCAGGUAUUGACGGUAUUUAACCAGAAAGCCACGGCUAACUACGUGCCAGCAGCCGCGGUAAUACGUAGGUGGCAAGCGUUGUCCGGAUUUAUUGGGCGUAAAGCGAGCGCAGGCGGUUUUUUAAGUCUGAUGUGAAAGCCUUCGGCUCAACCGAAGAAGUGCAUCGGAAACUGGGAAACUUGAGUGCAGAAGAGGACAGUGGAACUCCAUGUGUAGCGGUGAAAUGCGUAGAUAUAUGGAAGAACACCAGUGGCGAAGGCGGCUGUCUGGUCUGUAACUGACGCUGAGGCUCGAAAGUAUGGGUAGCAAACAGGAUUAGAUACCCUGGUAGUCCAUACCGUAAACGAUGAAUGCUAAGUGUUGGAGGGUUUCCGCCCUUCAGUGCUGCAGCUAACGCAUUAAGCAUUCCGCCUGGGGAGUACGGCCGCAAGGCUGAAACUCAAAGGAAUUGACGGGGGCCCGCACAAGCGGUGGAGCAUGUGGGUUUAAUUCGAAGCUACGCGAAGAACCUUACCAGGUCUUGACAUACUAUGCAAAUCUAGAGAUUAGACGUUCCCUUUCGGGGACAUGGAUACAGGUGUGCAUGAUGUCGUCAGCUCGUGUCGUGAGAUGUGGGUAGUCCCGCACGAGCGCACCCUAUAUCAGUGCAGCAUAGUUGGGCACUCUGGUGAGACUGCCGGUGACAACCCGAG